rnacentral:rRNA from 1 species
GACGAACGCUGGCGGCGUGCUUAACACAUGCAAGUCGAACGGAAAGGCCCUGCUUGCCGGGUACUCGAGUGGCGAACGGGUGAGUAACACGUGGGUGAUCUGCCCUGCACUUCGGGAUAAGCCUGGGAAACUGGGUCUAAUACCGGAUAGGAGCCAUUUUUAGUGUGAUGGUUGGAAAGUUUUUUCGGUGUAGGAUGAGCUCGCGGCCUAUCAGCUUGUUGGUGGGGUAAUGGCCUACCAAGGCGGCGACGGGUAGCCGGCCUGAGAGGGGGGACGGCCACAUUGGGACUGAGAUACGGCCCAGACUCCUACGGGAGGCAGCAGUGGGGAAUAUUGCACAAUGGGCGCAAGCCUGAUGCAGCGACGCCGCGUGGGGGAUGACGGCCUUCGGGUUGUAAACUCCUUUCGCUAGGGACGAAGCCUUGUGUGACGGUACCUAGAUAAGAAGCACCGGCUAACUACGUG